rnacentral:rRNA from 1 species
UGGCGGACGGCUGAGUAACACGUGGGUGACCUGCCCUCGAGCGGGGGAUAACUGCCCGAAAGGGUGGCUAAUACCGCAGACGUCGCGGAUUCGGUUCCGCGACUGAACCUCCGGGGUUCGGGGAGGGGCCCGCGGUCGAUUAGCUGGCUGGUGGGGUAACGGCCUACCAGGGCUGCGAUCGAUAGCUGGUCUGAGAGGAUGAUCAGCCAGACUGGGACUGCGAACGGCCCAG